AAAGCGGAAUCUGAAAAGCUUAUAAAAGAGUAAGAA
rfam:Elizabethkingia anophelis NTHP1, complete genome.